AUACUACUACUUCCUCAGAAUCAUGGAGAAGCUUCCAAAGAGGAGAUACCAUCAAGUGCUUGCUCUUCAUCUGAACAAUUCUCAACAUAAAAGGACUCAUGCAGCUUCCUUAUCUACUGGAAAAGGAUCCUUGCAAACAUGAUUUCUCUCUGUCGGUCUUCCCAGCCCCAAUAAGGCUAUUUUACCUGCAUACUAGAUGGGACAACAUGCAGAGCUGUGGCCCAGAAACAGCUUCACAUGGUG